rnacentral:rRNA from 1 species
GUGGUUUAAUUCGAAGCAACGCGAAGAACCUUUACCAGGUCUUGACAUACCAUUGACAGGCGCAGAGAUGUGCUCGUCCUUCGGGGCAAUUGGAUACAGGUGGUGCAUGGUUGUCGUCAGCUCGUGCCGUGAGGUGUUGGGUUAAGUCCCGCAACGAGCGCAACCCUCAUUGUUAGUUACUACCAUUCAGUUGAGGACUCUAAUGAGACUGCCAACGAUAAGUUGGAGGAAGGUGGGGAUGACGUCAAAUCAUCAUGCCCUUUAUGACCUGGGCUACAAACGUACUACAAUGGCCAAUACAAAGAGAUGCGAAGCGGUGACGUGGAGCGAACCUCAGAAAGUUGGUCUCAGUUCAGAUUGAAGUCUGCAACUCGACUUCAUGAAGGCGGAAUCGCUAGUAAUCGCGGGUCAGCAGACCGCGGUGAAUACGUUCCCGGGUUUU